GUUGGGUGGCCUGUCGCUCGGCGUCACUGGAGACGGCCGCCGAGAGGAAAGUCCGGGCAACACAGAGCAUCACAUUUCCUAACGGGAAGCCAGGGGUGACCUUGGGGUUCAGGUGACAGAAAAUGACCGCCAACCUCGGUUGGCAAGGGUGAAAAGGCGGGGUAAGAGCCCACCGGGUGACGUGGCGACACGUCAUGCCGCACCACCUGUGAGUUGCAAUGUCAAGUAUACCACCAGUCAAGGGCUGCUCGUCCGUUGGUGGAGGGUAGACAGCUAUAUCGGCGCAGCAAUGUGUCGGACAGAUAAAUGACAGGCGACUGACAUCGUGGCAGUCACAUAACCCGGCUUAUAGCCCGACUGG
rnacentral:RNase_P_RNA from 1 species